ACAUAUCAAUAAGCGGAGGAAAAGAAACCAACAGGGAUUGCCCUAGUAACGGCGAGUGAAGCGGCAACAGCUCAAAUUUGAAAUCUGGCUCUCGGGCCCGAGUUGUAAUUUGUAGAGGAUACUUUUGAUGCGGUGCCUUCCGAGUUCCCUGGAACGGGACGCCAUAGAGGGUGAGAGCCCCGUCUGGUUGGAUGCCAAAUCUCUGUAAAGUUCCUUCGACGAGUCGAGUAGUUUGGGAAUGCUGCUCUAAAUGGGAGGUAUAUGUCUUCUAAAGCUAAAUACCGGCCAGAGACCGAUAGCGCACAAGUAGAGUGAUCGAAAGAUGAAAAGCACUUUGAAAAGAGAGUUAAAAAGUACGUGAAAUUGUUGAAAGGGAAGCGUUUAUGACCAGACUUGGGCUUGGUUGAUCAUCUGGGGUUCUCCCCAGUGCACUCUUCCAGUCCAGGCCAGCAUCAGUUUUCGCCGGGGGAUAAAGACUUCGGGAAUGUGGCUCUCUUCGGGGAGUGUUAUAGCCCGUUGUGUAAUACCCUGGCGGGGACUGAGGUUCGCGCAUCUGCAAGGAUGCUGGCGUAAUGGUCAUCAACGACCCGUCUUGAAACACGGACCAAGGAGUCGUCUUCGUAUGCGAGUGUUCGGGUGUCAAACCCCUACGCGUAAUGAAAGUGAACGCAGGUGAGAGCUUCGGCGCAUCAUCGACCGAUCCUGAUGUUCUCGGAUGGAUUUGAGUAAGAGCAUACGGGGCCGGACCCGAAAGAAGGUGAACUAUGCCUGUAUAGGGUGAAGCCAGAGGAAACUCUGGUGGAGGCUCGCAGCGGUUCUGACGUGCAAAUCGAUCGUCAAAUAUGGGCAUGGGGGCGAAAGACUAAUCGAACCUUCUAGUAGCUGGUUUCCGCGA
rnacentral:rRNA from 1 species